CCUAGCCUGCGUUUGCGCAGUUCUUUUGUUAAUAAGCUAGACCUUUGCACGCUCCAUGUACUUAUAUACCACUCCAGGGGGCAACUACCACAUGUACCCAACUUCUCACCUUUUUCUUCAUUGUUCUCAUAGUGAUUGAAAUUUGAUUUUCUUCAAGCAAGAUGACAUGAGAAGCAAGGGUAUCUCACGAGCAGCCAAACUGCCAAUAAUAUCUAAGAACUAGAACAUUCUGCUACUCGAUCAAGAACUAUCAUGCUCUCUUAUCAUGUCUCCAUCCUCUACUUGAUGAUGCUUAUCAUUGCAUUCUGCAAUCUUGGACUGCAUUCAGCAGCUUCUAGUACGGAGUUUAAACAUUCAUUCCGUGGAGAUAACAACCAUUCAAGAAAGGUACAUGUAAAGUCAGAAAAGGCAUACUCAAGCUACAGAGAGCUUAUGGUGCAUGGCGGUUGCACGAAUAGAGAUAUAAGCAUCUCACAAAGUAGAGAUACCACAUCUGGAAUCCCAAGGUACAUAGUCCAGAUAGUCAACACUUGUGUUUCCGGAUGUGCUCCUUCAAAGAUUCGUCUGCACUGUGGUUGGUUUGCGUCUGCAAGAAUAAUAAAUCCAAGAACCUUCAAGAGGCUAUCCUAUGAUGAUUGCUUGGUUAAUGGAGGAAAGCCUUUGAAGAGCCGCCAAAUCAUCAGCUUUACUUACUCAAACUCUUUUAUGUACCCACUUGCAUUCAAGUCUGCUAAGUUCUGCUGAACAGCAAACAAGUCCAAAGGGCAUGAAGUAAUUGAAACAUUUUGCUAAAUGAUUAAAAUACCAAACCAAAGCAAAGAAUCCAUGAACCCCAAGAAAUUCAGGACUCCCUCGAAUAAAACCCCGUCACAAUAUUAAUUAGCAUUUUAAAACCUAGCAUUUAUAGCCGAGACUGUCCAGUGAACCUUCUGUUCUCUCUUUUAAAACCCUAUGAGUUUUUGUUGGGUUCCAUUUCACUUCUGUCUUAUUUUAGACUCCCCGAUCGAGUCAAAAGCUACUGUUACAUGCGUGGCUGGUGCAUGGAAGAUCUGAAACAUGAUGCUUCUUUAACAGUCCGUGUGCUCUAUCUUCCUCUCACAGUUGUUUUCUUUUUUCCACACAGAAGAGAUAGAAGUUUUCUUACACUAGAUCUGAAGACGUGGGGUCUUCUUUCUAAGGAUGAUUGGAGCAAUACGGAGUGUCAGCAGUGGCUGUGGCUGGUUGGGAUGGAAUAACUUACAAAAUAUUGAGAGAAGAAGCAGUAGCACGGGAUUCUCUCUCUCUCUCUCUCUGUCUCUCAGUUGCCAAAAGAGGUUGGAUGUUGGCGUAAGCGCUCACUGCUCAAGAACAGAAACUGAGGUAAAACACCAGAAGCCCGGUUGUAUAUUACUGUGUUGGACAUUGUCGAGCUGAAUUUCUGUAUGUAUCUAUG